rnacentral:rRNA from 1 species
GACGAACGCUGGCGGCGCGCCUAACACAUGCAGGUCGAACGAGCGAGAGAGAGCUUGCUUUCUCAAGCGAGUGGCGAACGGGUGAGUAACGCGUGAGGAACCUGCCUCAAAGAGGGGGACAACAGUUGGAAACGACUGCUAAUACCGCAUAAGCCCACAGGUCGGCAUCGACCAGAGGGAAAAGGAGCAAUCCGCUUUGAGAUGGCCUCGCGUCCGAUUAGCUAGUUGGUGAGGUAACGGCCCACCAAGGCAACGAUCGGUAGCCGGACUGAGAGGUUGAACGGCCACAUUGGGACUGAGACACGGCCCAGACUCCUACGGGAGGCAGCAGUGGGGAAUAUUGCACAAUGGGGGAAACCCUGAUGCAGCGACGCCGCGUGGAGGAAGAAGGUCUUCGGAUUGUAAACUCCUGUUGUUGAGGAAGAUAAUGACGGUACUCAACAAGGAAGUGACGGCUAACUACGUG